AGAGUUUGAUCCUGGCUCAGGAUGAACGCUAGCGGCAGGCUUAACACAUGCAAGUCGAGGGGUAUUGGUUUUCGGACCAAGAGACCGGCGCACGGGUGCGUAACGCGUAUGCAAUCUACCUUUUGCAGAGGGAUAGCCCAGAGAAAUUUGGAUUAAUACCUCAUAGUAUAGUACAAUCGCAUGAUUGAACUAUUAAAGUCACAACGGCAAAAGAUGAGCAUGCGUCCCAUUAGCUAGAUGGUAAGGUAACGGCUUACCAUGGCAACGAUGGGUAGGGGUCCUGAGAGGGAGAUCCCCCACACUGGUACUGAGACACGGACCAGACUCCUACGGGAGGCAGCAGUGAGGAAUAUUGGACAAUGGGCGCAAGCCUGAUCCAGCCAUGCCGCGUGCAGGAUGACGGUCCUAUGGAUUGUAAACUGCUUUUGCACAGGAAGAAACACUCGGUCGUGACCGAGCUGACGGUA
rnacentral:rRNA from 1 species